rnacentral:rRNA from 2 species
CCUCGGAUCAGGUAGGGAUACCCGCUGAAC